rnacentral:rRNA from 1 species
AACUCAAAUGAAUUGACGGGGGCCCGCACAAGCGGAGGAACAUGUGGUUUAAUUCGAUGAUACGCGAGGAACCUUACCUGGGCUUAAAUGGGGAGUGACAGCUGUCGAAAGAUGGUUUUCUUCGGACACUCUUCAAGGUGCUGCAUGGUUGUCGUCAGCUCGUGCCGCGAGGUGUCGGGUUAAGUCCCAUAACGAGCGCAACCCUUACCGUUAGUUACCAUCAGGUUAAGCUGGGGACUCUAGCGGGACUGCCACCGUAAGGUGAGAGGAAGGUGGGGAUGACGUCAAAUCAGCACGGCCCUUAUGUCCAGGGCUACACACGUGUUACAAUGGCCGGUACAAAGGGCAGCUACUUCGCGAGAAGAUGCUAAUCUCGAAAGCCGGUCUCAGUUCGGAUCGAAGUCUGCAACCCGACUUCGUGAAGCUGGAUUCGCUAGUAAUCGCGCAUCAGCCAUGGCGCGGUGAAUACGUUCCCGGGCCUU